GCGCUUAAUUGCGCGGCGAAAAAACCUUACACACAGUGUUUUUUGUUAUUACAAGAACUUUUGCUUUGGUCUGGACUAGAAAUAGUUUGGGCCAGAGGUUUACUGAACUAAACUUCAAUAUUUAUAUUGAAUUGUUAUUUAUUUAAUUGUCAAUUUGUUGAUUAAAUUCAAAAAAUCUUCAAAACUUUCAACAACGGAUCUCUUGGUUCUCGCAUCGAUGAAGAACGCAGCGAAAUGCGAUAAGUAAUAUGAAUUGCAGAUUUUCGUGAAUCAUCGAAUCUUUGAACGCACAUUGCGCCCUCUGGUAUUCCAGAGGGCAUGCCUGUUUGAGCGUCAUUUCUCUCUCAAACCUUCGGGUUUGGUAUUGAGUGAUACUCUUAGUCGAACUAGGCGUUUGCUUGAAAUGUAUUGGCAUGAGUGGUACUGGAUAGUGCUAUAUGACUUUCAAUGUAUUAGGUUUAUCCAACUCGUUGAAUAGUUUAAUGGUAUAUUUCUCGGUAUUCUAGGCUCGGCCUUACAAUAUAACAAACAAGUUUGACCUCAAAUCAGGUAGGAUUACCCGCUGAACUUAAGCAUAUCAAUAAGCGGAGGAAGG
rnacentral:rRNA from 1 species